rnacentral:rRNA from 1 species
CGUUCCCGGGCCUUGUACACACCGCCCGUCAAGUCAUGAAAGUCGGUAACACCCGAAGCCGGUGGCCUAACCCUUGUGGAGGGAGCCGUCGAAGGUGGGAUCGGUGAUUAGGACU